rnacentral:rRNA from 1 species
GACGAACGCUGGCGGCGUGCCUAAUACAUGCAAGUAGAACGCUGAAGGAGGAGCUUGCUUCUCUGGAUGAGUUGCGAACGGGUGAGUAACGCGUAGGUAACCUGCCUGGUAGCGGGGGAUAACUAUUGGAAACGAUAGCUAAUACCGCAUAAUAGCAGUUGUUGCAUGACAACUGUUUGAAAGGUGCAAAUGCACCACUACCAGAUGGACCUGCGUUGUAUUAGCUAGUUGGUGGGGUAACGGCUCACCAAGGCGACGAUACAUAGCCGACCUGAGAGGGUGAUCGGCCACACUGGGACUGAGACACGGCCCAGACUCCUACGGGAGGCAGCAGUAGGGAAUCUUCGGCAAUGGACGGAAGUCUGACCGAGCAACGCCGCGUGAGUGAAGAAGGUUUUCGGAUCGUAAAGCUCUGUUGUAAGAGAAGAACGAGUGUGAGAGUGGAAAGUUCACACUGUGACGGUAUCUUACCAGAAAGGGACGGCUAACUACGUG